rnacentral:rRNA from 1 species
AUUGAACGCUGGCGGCACGCUUUACACAUGCAAGUCGAGCGGCAGCGCGGGGGUGCUUGCACCCCUGGCGGCGAGCGGCGGACGGGUGAGUAAUGCAUGGGAAUAUGCCUGACAGUGGGGGAUAACCUUGGGAAACCAGGGCUAAUACCGCAUUCGCUCCACGGAGGAAAGCGGGGGAUCUUCGGACCUCGCGCUGACAGAGUAGCCCAUGCCCAAUUAGCUUGUUGGCGGGGUAACAGCCCACCAAGGCGACGAUUGGUAGCUGGUCUGAGAGGACGAUCAGCCACACCGGGACUGAGACACGGCCCGGACUCCUACGGGAGGCAGCAGUGGGGAAUAUUGGACAAUGGGGGCAACCCUGAUCCAGCGAUGCCGCGUGAGUGAAGAAGGCUUUCGGGUUGUAAAGCUCUUUCGCAGGGAAAGAAACGGUGGCGGCCAAUACCCGCUACAACUGACGGUACCCUGAUAAGAAGCACCGGCUAACUACGUGCCAGCAGCCGCGGUAAUACGUAGGGUGCGAGCGUUAAUCGGAAUUACUGGGCGUAAAGCGUGCGUAGGCGGCCGCGCAAGUCAGAUGUGAAAUCCCCGGGCUCAACCUGGGAACUGCGUUUGAAACUGUGCGGCUAGAGUUCGGCAGGGGAAGAUGGAAUUCCGUGUGUAGCAGUGAAAUGCGUAGAUAUACGGAAGAACACUAAUAGCGAAAGCAUUCUUCUGGGCCGACACUGACGCUGAGUCACUAAAGCGNUGUAGCAGUGAAAUGCGUAGAUAUACGGAAGAACACUAAUAGCGAAGGCAUUCUUCUGGGCCGACACUGACGCUGAGUCACUAAAGCGUGGGGAGCAAACAGGAUUAGAUACCCUGGUAGUCCACGCCCUAAACGAUGUCCGCUAGCUAUUGGGCGUAGGCUCAGUGGCGCAGUUAACGCGUUAAGCGGACCGCCUGGGGAGUACGAUCGCAAGAUUAAAACUCAAAGGAAUUGACGGGGACCCGCACAAGCGGUGGAUGAUGUGGUUUAAUUCGAUGCAACGCGAAAAACCUUACCUGCUCUUGACAUGUCCGGAAUCCCGUAGAGAUACGGGAGUGCCUUAGGGAAUCGGAACACAGGUGUUGCAUGGCUGUCGUCAGCUCGUGUCGUGAGAUGUUGGGUUAAGUCCCGCAACGAGCGCAACCCUUGUCGUUAGUUACCAGCAUUAAGUUGGGCACUUUAACGAAGCUGCCGGUGACAAACCGGAGGAAGGUGGGGACGACGUCAAGUCAUCAUGGCCCUUAUGAGCAGGGCUACACACGUCAUACAAUGGCCGGUACAACGGGCAGCCAACCCGCGAGGGGGAGCUAAUCUCUAAAAGCCGGUCGUAGUCCGGAUCGCAGUCUGCAACUCGACUGCGUGAAGUCGGAAUCGCUAGUAAUCGCGGAUCAGCAUGUCGCGGUGAAUACGUUCCCGGGUCUUGUACACACCGCCCGUCAAACCAUGGGAGUGAAAGACACCAGAAGCGGGUAGUUUAACCUUUCGGGGAGGACGCUCACUAAGGUGUGUUUCAUGACUGGGGUU